UCUGAUUAUAAUUACAUUUUCCCACUUGGAUUAGUGUAGAAAGAAAUGGGGAUAAUUAUGUCGUUUAAGUAGCUGUUUAUCUACAUUGUUUAAUUGAAAUAAUUGGUAAAAGAAAAGUUUAUUUUUCUAAUCUCCGCUGUUACUUCAUUAGUGUUUUUCUUUUGUUUUAUUAGUUAACUAGCCAACAGUUAACUACUUUAAUUUCAGUGUAAAUGAUGAGGGCUGUGCAGGCUGGGUCACUGAACACAGAUCUCACUAAGGUAAUCUUUCCCUUUGCUCAGAUGCUAGCAGCUCCUGUUGGCACUGUGGAACAUGCCGGAUGCCAGGGUGUGUCUGAGACUGGGGCACUUCCAUGGUUAUCAGGGGUCUGCAGUGCUGGCUGAAUGGAUGGAGCUGGUUGAGGUCAGCGGGCUGCGGGCGUCCCUCCAUAUCCACCCUUAUUCCACCAUGAUGAAGCAGCCUCCAUCCUAAACUGCCCUGAUGAGAGGUGAUGGAGGAGAGCCAGAACACUGACCAAGCCUGAACACACAAUUCUGUAUGUGAAUACAUAUGUGUGUUUAUUCACACUGCCCAUCAAAAGUUUGAGAACAGAUUCUAUAUAGAUUAUAUUGAGUUUAUAGAAUAUUUAUAGAGUAAAAACACUUCUGAUCCACCCUCAGAACUGGCACUUAUUUUUACGUAUUGAUUUGUACAGGUGUAAAUGUUUCGGAGUAGGGCUGGGCAGUAUAUUAAAACAUUUAGGCCAAUCUGAUAUAAGUCUUAUUUUGAGACAAACAGAGUGGCCAGAGUGCUCAAAAUGUAUGUCUGUACCUACAAACAUCUGAAAAAUGAAUUUGCUAAAUCAUGUAAUACACGCUGGGCUGAACAUCCGUUAGUGAAAGAUUCUGUAAAUAAAAAUCUUUUUGCUAGUAUUUCUCACACCCUUAGACUGGCAUGGAAAGAAGGAGGAAGAUGGGAAGGAAGUGGUUGCAAACUUGUUUGACACGCAGGUAGAGAGGAAGUGAAAGUUUAAAUAGGGCAGAGAGUGAAAGGAGUAAAGGCCAUUGAUCAGUCUCCCAAAAUGUUCUCUUUUAUGGGGGUCCUCUAUGAUUUUAUUCCUGUCGCGAAUGACAAUUUCUGUGUUUUUCUCAGACGUCCUCUGAGAAAACUACAGGCUGAAUUAUCUACUGUCUUUCUCUGAACUCUGUGGUCGUCUCCUUGUGUACAAUAAAAUAGCUAUUUGUCCACAGAUACGCACCGUAAUUACACUUAGAGUUCACAUUUCCACUGAGAUUCACGUAAACACAACAGCGAGUGGAAAUGGAGAAGCUACUGAACGCGAUGUCCAUGUGACAGAAAAAGCCAAAAACUCACUGGUCCUCCUGUUUUUCAAUUGCAGUCUGGACGCAAGAGUUUUAUCCCUGAGUACAAGUGUGAAAUAUUUUUCACAAGACGUUCCCCUGAGAAACUAAUCCCAUUUGGAUAGGGCUUAAACCUUUAGCUAAGUUGUCAUUAGCUUUUAGCAUUUUUUUAUCCAAUGUACCCUGAGUGAACAUCAUUUCUUGCCUUUCAGACCCAGCUUUACAUCAUAUCUAUGAUUUCCAUGUUAAUGUGGAUAUGUCAGAAGUACUCAGUAUAAUUAUUUAUGUUAGUAGUGAGUAGGUUUAGUAAGAGUCUAUACCGGACCAGUCUAAUCAGAGGAGUGAAUGGAGCAUGCUGGAGCUGCUGGUGGGGUUCUCUGACUUAAGGAGGGAGAAUGGCACAUGCAGGCGUCUCCAUGAUGGUGGAGAUGAUCUGGAGGGCAGGCAGCAGGGACACCCAAUCAGCGCUGAUCUCAAAGCAGCAUCAAGAAGAAAAACACAGACGUUAGACACAGUACAUAAAGUACAACAGUGUCUGCGGCAGGCCUCACUAUAUCACAUAUAUCUGUGGAUAACUAUAUUCCCAAACCAUCAACAAACCGUAAUUAUGGUGGAACAGUAUGUGUAUUCAUAUUGGUGUUGACGUCACAGUUACUCCCAUGUACAUGCUUACUGCCCUGUUACUGAGUAUUUUUAGUUUUUACAGAACAACCUUUUUUUAACAAACAUCAGCAUUUAAAGUGAUGCCCUAGCUAUUGUUUCCUUUACAUUAAGUUACAUUUAUUUAGAUUAAUUAUUAUUUUUUUCAUGAAUAGUAAGCACCCCCCCUUCAGCCUUUCAUGCAGUUUUUUACAUUAAUUACAGUGCAAACAUAGUGUUCUCAUAGUUCUCACAGUUCAGGAAAAAAAUAAACUAUGUAAAUCACUGCCACAUAAAAAAGUUCUUUACAGGAUUCUGACAGAAAUACUGACAUUCACUCUGGGAGCUUCUAUAUGUAAAGAGGUACAAUGUCCAUUAUCCCAUUUUGAAAAGUGCAUUAAAACAGUAAUUUGAUUAAUCAAAUGAAUUUGAUUAAGUAAUAAUGCAAGCUGACAUAGCAUAUUAGGUAUCGUAGUUGUGAACAAAUCUUACACCCUGCCAACAGUCUAUCUUCACACCUUGCCAUUAAAAUAGUGUCAGAGUUUAGGAAUUAAUCUACACUGAUGGGUAUGGUGGUCUGGAAGUGAGGAGUGUUCAGGUAAAUUUCUGGCGUGUUUCUGUUUUGGUGGCUGUGCCACGGACUGAUUAAAACCCAUCAACAAUAAACAGUCCACCAGUGUACACCCCCGCUCCAUACGCACACACACGGGCACACUGCAGAGCACAAACUCUACAAUAAACAGAAUAAAGAAUAAAGCCUUUUGUGCGUUUUGAGCCAUGAAAGGCAUAUUUUUUGCACCCUCAUGACACCAAAGACACACCAAGACGCCCUAAAUCCAGCUGCGCUAUGUGUAAUUGACAGAUGUGCUAUAGAUGGUUAAAAUAGAGCCCUAUGUUCAUUGGAAAUGGCUAAAAUCAUAAAUAUUAUUAAAUAUUUGUAGUAUUUAUAUAUAAGAAAGUGUGUAUUGUAAAUGUGUGUGUUUGUCUGUCUGUGUUUUCCUUUCCUGCACUAUAAUUACCACCCUGUCGUGUCGGUGGGCAGGUGUGGUGACGAGGGUGCAGACAGCAGGCGUGUGGGGCUCCCUGAGCUGCGGGCAUUAUUAGCCAAGAUGCUGUGGCUCCAGGGUCUCCACUACACAAUGUGUGCCAAUGUGUGUGUGUGUGUGUAUGAUUGUGAGAACUUGCUAUAUGGAUUUUAAUUGCACUGUUAGAUAAUUUUACUGUAUUAAUCUAGGUGUCAGAACUGACUUCAGCUCAUGGGUAUUAGGGGUGAUUUUUCCCUUUAAAUUGAUCUUCAUUUUAUUGAUUCGAUAUAGUUUCACGUAAACCCUAUAUCUGUCUUUAAAUUUAUCCUAUUUUCACAUGUGUGUACAUAAACCCUCUGCAGUUGCAGUUGCAGACCAGCAGAUUAAAACCAUAGUUUGAGAGAAACUAAAAACACCUUUGUGGCCUUCACAGGAAUCAAUACCUUAAAACAGGUUGAAGCGCUGCCCAAAGUGUUUUAAAGCAUCAACUAGAAUUGACCAAAAAAAACGUCCUAUACAGAGAAUUCAUUGUGUUACUGCCUUUAGCAGCUAAAUAUAUAUUAUACUUCCAUGUUGUUCAAAACACAAAAACAAUACAGACAGACACGAAGACUAGAAAUUUCAAAACAUAGAAUCACAGUCAUGAACCAAAAACCUGAGUUAUUAGGCUAAUUUAAGAUGUUAUGAGGUUAUGUACAGGGGCUGUUUGUGUGACAUAUAUGGGUGACAUAUAUGGGUAUAUUGUCAUAUAUAUAUAUAUAUAGGUAUCUUUAAUAGGGGUGCACAAUGAUCGUUUUAAUAUCGUCAGCGCAAUAUGAUUAUGUGCAGUAGUCACAUUGUCACAUUGCACAUUGCAGGAUAUGCUAUGUUCAUUAAAGCAACUUUAUCCCAUCAGGGUUCAACUUAAUUGCAACUUCACACUGUUCUCAUUUUCCAUUGAACCUCUACCAGACAAUAUAUCAGCCCACUUUAUUUAUUUGACUUCAGUCUUGAAUAUAUUAAGUGUGUAUACAGUACCAGUUAAAGGUUUGGACACUGCUUAAAUGCUUAAAAUAUUUUGCUUUGUUUCUUAUUUUCUUAAUUAGCUUUCUCUGUUAUAGGUUAAUAUUAAAGACACAAAAACAGUUUAAGGACACAUAUGGAAUUACGAAGUAAACAGUAAAAAAGUGUUUGUCCUCCACAUUAAUCCCCUGAUCUAAACCUGAUGAACUGAGAUGGUGAUUUGAGAUGAUUUAAUAAUUGGGAUGAGCUGGAGCUUCACAGCGUGAAGGAAAAGCAGCAGCUAUUGUUCAGCACCUCCAGGAACUCCUUCCUUCAAGAUGUUGAGAAAACUAUUCCAGGUGACUCUCCAUCAUGAAGACACUGAGAUUAAAAUCUCACCAAGAAUGUUCAGAUCUGUCCUUAAAGAUACAUUUGAUACUUAAAAGAAUCUAAAGUACAAAACAUAUUCUGGUUUGUUUAACACUUCCUGUUAAAAUACAGUGUUUCUGUAUAGCUUUAAUGUUUUCAAUAUCUUACAAUUUACAAUGUAAAAAAAAUACAUUGAAUGAGAAGAGGUGUGUCCAAACUUUUGACUGGUACUGUGUAUCUUGUAUCCAAGAUCAUAUAUACCUUUGAUCAUAGAUUUAUGUUACAGUCUGGUGAAAAUUCUUGAAUUUUCUAACAUAACUGUAUAUAUCGCAGACAAAAAACUAUUGCAAUGCUCGUUUUGCAAAUAUCGAGCAGACCUAAUCUGUAAUAAAUAUUCCUAGACACAACAAAAAAAGUUUUUUUUAGUGCAUCUCAAAAAAAUAGAAUACUAUUACUGAUCAUCAGUAAAUUUUGCAUUUCAUUUGUAAAUCAAGGAACCAGAGUCUGGAGGAAGAGUGGAGAGACACACAGUCCAACCUGCUCGAGGUCUAGUGUGAAGUUUCCACCAAUCAGUGAUGGCUUUCGGCUGUGAAAUAAGGACUGCAGUUAAAUGUGUGCAAGAACCAGAGCCUCACCCUACAGCAGAACUCCAGCAGCUCAGAGGAGAUCAGACUGCUGUCAGCUGUCAGAAUCUGCAGUUAUUUUUCGGAGGUAGCAAAACAGAUCUUUUUAUAGUAGUUUUGCAUGAGUUAUUUCUGACUGGCAGUUUUAAUAAAACAGGUGGAGAAACUGUUGGAAACUUUCACUCCAUCUCACAUCAGUAGGUGUGUAGGUAGAAGAAGAAAUGCUAAUUAUUAUAUGAAUCUGUUUGUGUAAUAUGUUGUAUGUGCCAAUGUUAAAUUGUAUGAAAGGCAAAACACUGUAUAAUUUUUUACAUGUUUUUGUUAUUUUUUUAUGUCAAAACGAACAGAAUAAAGU